rnacentral:rRNA from 1 species
UGGGGAAUAUUGGACAAUGGGCGAAAGCCUGAUCCAGCCAUGCCGCGUGUGUGAAGAAGGUCUUCGGAUUGUAAAGCACUUUAAGUUGGGAGGAAGGGCAUUAACCUAAUACGUUAGUGUUUUGACGUUACCGACAGAAUAAGCACCGGCUAACUCUGUGCCAGCAGCCGCGGUAAUACAGAGGGUGCAAGCGUUAAUCGGAAUUACUGGGCGUAAAGCGCGCGUAGGUGGUUUGUUAAGUUGGAUGUGAGAUCCCCGGGCUCAACCUGGGAACUGCAUUCAAAACUGACUGACUAGAGUAUGGUAGAGGGUGGUGGAAUUUCCUGUGUAGCGGUGAAAUGCGUAGAUAUAGGAAGGAACACCAGUGGCGAAGGCGACCACCUGGACUAAUACUGACACUGAGGUGCGAAAGCGUGGGGAGCAAACA